UAGUGGCGAACGGGUGAGUAACACGUGGGCAAUCUGCCCUUCACUCUGGGACAAGCCCUGGAAACGGGGUCUAAUACCGGAUACCACUCCUGCCUGCAUGGGCGGGGGUUGAAAGCUCCGGCGGUGAAGGAUGAGCCCGCGGCCUAUCAGCUUGUUGGUGGGGUAAUGGCCCACCAAGGCGACGACGGGUAGCCGGCCUGAGAGGGCGACCGGCCACACUGGGACUGAGACACGGCCCAGACUCCUACGGGAGGCAGCAGUGGGGAAUAUUGCACAAUGGGCGAAAGCCUGAUGCAGCGACGCCGCGUGAGGGAUGACGGCCUUCGGGUUGUAAACCUCUUUCAGCAGGGAAGAAGCGAAAGUGACGGUACCUGCAGAAGAAGCGCCGGCUAACUACGUGCCAGCAGCCGCGGUAAUACGUAGGGCGCAAGCGUUGUCCGGAAUUAUUGGGCGUAAAGAGCUCGUAGGCGGCUUGUCACGUCGGAUGUGAAAGCCCGAGGCUUAACCUCGGGUCUGCAUUCGAUACGGGCUAGCUAGAGUGU
rnacentral:rRNA from 1 species